rnacentral:tRNA from 4 species
CACGGGGUGGAGCAGCCUGGUAGCUCGUCGGGCUCAUAACCCGAAGGUCGUCGGUUCAAAUCCGGCCCCCGCAACCA